rnacentral:rRNA from 1 species
GGGGGGGGGGGGGGGGGGGGGGGGCGGAGGGGGGGCGGGCGGGGGGGCGCGGCGUGUGGGGGGUGCUCGAGGGGCGAGCGGGUGAGUAGCACGUGAGUAACCUGCCCUUGACUUUGGGAUAACUUCAGGGAACUGGGGCUAAUACCGGAUAGGAGCUCCUGCUGCCUGGGGGGGGUUGGAAAGGUUCGGCGGUUGGGGCUGGACUCGCGGCUUAUCAGCUGGUUGGUGGGGUAGUGGCUUACCAAGGCUUUGACGGGUAGCCGGCCUGAGAGGGUGACCGGCCACAUUGGGACUGAGAUACGGCCCAGACUCCUACGGGAGGCAGCAGUGGGGAAUAUUGCACAAUGGGCGGAAGCCUGAUGCAGCAACGCCGCGUGCGGGAUGACGGCCUUCGGGUUGUAAACCGCUUUCGCCUGUGACGAAGCGUGAGUGACGGUAAUGGGUAAAGAAGCACCGGCUAACUACGUG